UUAUUUUGUUGGAUUGCUGUCGCUAAUGAACGCUUCAAAUUCGCAUAUCAUUGUGGAACCCGGCCAUGUAGGCGACUCAUCAAAAGGUCAUGACCAAUAGUCUAUAAAUGGAGUUUGUUUAUUUUCUAUGUUAGUGUUUAUUUUACUACAUUAGUAGUGAUAUCAAAUAAACCCUGUGGUCUUCUGAAAGAGAAAGUUACUCUUUCCUCCGCGCGGGUUCAGACUAGUCGACGCGGGCUGGAUAUUGGUUUACUAGACUCAACAUUGAUCAAUUACUGCUGAAGUCUCAUGUGACAAGAUAUAUACACACUAGAUCCUCUUUUGCCAGGAAACAACGUAGAUGUGGUCUGUGUGGGGGGGGGGGGGGGGGGGGGGGGGUGGGGAGAGACUUCCCGUUCUGUAAACAGCUUGUGAUUCACACGCACACCUUUUUAUUCUCUAUUAAUGACAUAUCAUGAUGACACCCGGACACCGCUGGAACAAGUCCAGUUUCUUUUUAACAGGUCAGACGGGUCCGCCCAUCUCAUAUGAUUCGUUAGUUUACCUGAGUGCCACCAGCGCCUAUCUGAAAGGUUUAGGUGUUCUCAACCAGAAGCUGGGAGCGGCCACACAGAAGGAAAAAUAGACGCUGAAACAGACGCUGGGACAAGACUAUUUUUUGACACAGACCUACACGUCAUACUUCACUGGACGCCAGUGUUGGCAGUUUAGGUGUUAUGUCGCUGGUGACGGUGUUGUCUCUUCACCCUGCUCCAUAUAGCGAACACAACACACCACAAUGAUGAUCUCACUUUACACUUUGACUUUAAUGACAAACCGAAUUGAAAGUUAGAGCCAGGGUCAAAGGUUUUUUGUUAAUAUUUACAAUACAGUUCAUUACAACGCAACAUUGUAAAAUAAUCUUUAUAAAUGAUGACAUGUUUUUUUAUCGUCGUUAAAUCAGACACCGUGUGCAGUGACCACAGCCGCCAUUCGGCGGUUCUUUAGACGUCAGGAGACAAGAUGGAGGCCGGUGUUGUGGCAGUUUGUAGGCCUACAGUUGGUGUUGUGGUGCUCGUGAUCUCUGGCGGGAAGCCAGGCUGCAGCUACCGGGGCUUUCCACAGCCAACACUCAGCACACCAUGUGACCCAGGCAGCCAAUCGGGCCGCCCAGGCAGACUGUCUCCAAACCAGUCAGUUCAGUCCUGGCCCUUACCUGGCAGCAAUCUUGGUGCUACACGUUGGGUGGGGAACUGAAUAAGGAUUUAUACAUAAAUAUUAUUUGAUCUGCAUAUAGAUCAUAACUGUUUUCAUGAUAUUAAAGCUAUUUACAUUUAGUAAAAUUGUGUUCAUAUUAUAUAUAUUCCCAAAAACGGAAAAAAUUUAAAGCUAAAUACCUUAAUCAAGUUAAUCAAUGUUUUUGUGAAUGUAUACGUCAUCGCUUCUCAGUUUUUUAUAACUCAAUAUAAUAAUUUUGUAUUAUCAAUUUCAGUAUCUUUUUAUUCAAUUACAUAUUAUUUUAAAACAAAUUAGUUUAUAUUUGUCAAUUUAAUCCUGAGGAUUAACCUAAAACCAAACAUCCUUUAAUAAUAAACCCUAUAAACGAAGUAUGUAAACUUGUAAACUUAACCUAAUGAUAAGUACAUAAAAUAUAUGUAGGCAAUUUUUUUUUAAGGUAUUUUAUUGAAAGAUAACCCAAGGAUAUAUGAUCCAAUUCCCCAAAAAACAAAGAAUAUGCAACAAAGAACAUUAAGGCUGAAGCAACCUAGCUCGAUUUUUGGAGCCUAUGUAGCAAUGCAAUUCUCUAGCUAGCAGAACUCUGAAUUCAUACAAUUUAAGGAGGCACAUCGAAUUAAUCUAAUAUUGUAUUCAAACUUGACAGACUCUCACCGUCCAAAAUCUUAAUUCAGAAUCUUUAAACAUUAUUUUAAACUAGAGCUGUCAAGCGAUUAAAAUAUUUAAUCGUGAUUAAUCGCAUUAAUGUCAUAGUUAACUCACGAUUAAUCGCAAAUUCUUUUUCUAUGCUAAAUAUCCCUUGAUUUAUUUUUCCCAUAAUUCUUCUCAUUUUAAUUAUCUUAUCAACAUGGUGAAGUGCAUCGGCUUGCCUUGUGCAAAUGAUUUUUUAUUGAUAACAACAUUGGCAUAUACUGAUCAAAACAGGACGAUACAAAAAAAGCCUAUAGUGCAAUUAUUAUUUUUUAAAUAAAAGAAUUGCGUUAAUCGCGCGAUAAUUUUUUUAACGCCGUUAAAAUUGGUUUGCGUUAACGCCGUUAAUAACGCGUUUAACUGACAGCUCUAUUUUAAACAUAUUAAACAAUAUUAUAUUAUUAUAAUAUUAUAUUAAUAUCAUAUAUUAUAAUAUAUAUUAAAUAAGUAAAAUGUUAUAACACGAAG